UAACAGUAAAGGGCACAGUGUUCCCACAGUUAAUUUGGUAUUUUAGUAAAGUAUGGAAAGGGUUAACAGCAAACAACACGGAAUUCUCAUGUAUUUUAGCUGAGCUGAAGGCAGGAACGAGUUAAAUAUAAAAGUAAAUAUAUAACAGGAACCAUGCUCUUUGUAAGUGGUUGAGUUGCUAAUUGACAAUGUGUGAAUAUUGAAACACUCAGGGAUAUCUGCGGAAGUUAGAAACCAAAGUGAACUUCAGAUUUAAGGUUGAAAACAGCCAAACUAAAAGCAUGGCUGGCUUUGAGGAAUUUUUCAGUUUGUAUAUUUGGAAUUUACUUU